rnacentral:rRNA from 1 species
GAUGAACGCUGGCGGCGUGCUUAACACAUGCAAGUCGAGCGAGUGAGUUCUUCGGAACGAUCUAGCGGCGGACGGGUGAGUAACACGUGGGCAACCUGCCUCAUGGAGGGGAAUAGCCUCCCGAAAGGGAGCUUAAUACCGCAUAAAAUUAUCGAGUGGCGUCACAUGAUAAUCAAAGGAGUAAUCCGCUAUGAGAUGAGCCCGCGGCGCAUUAGCUAGUUGGUGAGGUAACGGCUCACCAAGGGGACGAUGCGUAGCCGACCUGAGGGGGUGAUCGGCCACAUUGGGACUGAGACACGGCCCAGACUCCUACUGGAGGCGUCAGUGGGGAAUAUUGCACAAUGGGGGAAACCCUGAUGCAGCAACGCCGCGUGAGUGAUGAAGUUCUUCGGAGUGUAAAGCUCUGUCUUUGGGUACGAUAAUGACGGAACCCAAGGAGGAAGCCACGGGUAACUACGUGCCAGCAGCCGCCGUAA